UUUUAUUGCAAUUUUAAAUAAUUUUAUUAUUUUAGAUGCUACAAUGUUAUAAUGUAGACUGAUUUAUGUUGACAUUUUAUAUAACCAAAGACCAAAAAAAUCUCCAGUUUUUAACCCAUAAGUGGUUUGCUAGAAUAGCAAUGACAUCUGUGACAUAUAGGGAAGCAUAUCAGAAGACGCGAAUGGCUAGUUGGCCCUCAGUCAUUCUCCGAAAAUCCCACUUCACCCAAUUCCUGAAUUAUUUGGUUAUGCAAUUUUCUGAAUUUUCCAGAAAAUUGCAUAACCAAAAUAGGAUAGUCCUAAAUUUUUAUAAAGGGUGCAUAUGCUGACC
rnacentral:lncRNA from 1 species